UACGUAGGGGGCUAGCGUUGUCCGGAAUCAUUGGGCGUAAAGAGCGCGUAGGCGGCUAGAUAAGUCCGGUGUGAAAGUCACAGGCUCAACCUGUGAAUGCCGCUGGAAACUGUCUGGCUAGAGUCCGGAAGAGGAGAGCGGAAUUCCUGGUGUAGCGGUGAAAUGCGCAGAUAUCGGGAAGAACACCUGCGGCGAAGGCGGGUUGCUGGGCUGACACUGACGCUCAUGCACGAAAGCGUGGGGAGCAAACAGG
rnacentral:rRNA from 1 species